rnacentral:rRNA from 1 species
GAUUAGGUAGGAAUACCCGCUGAACUUAAGCAUAUCAAUAAGCGGAGGAAAAGAAACCAACAGGGAUUGCCCUAGUAACGGCGAGUGAAGCGGCAACAGCUCAAAUUUGAAAUCUGGCCCUAGCGGUCCGAGUUGUAAUUUGUAGAGGAUGCUUUUGGUUAGGUGCCUUCUGAGUUCCCUGGAACGGGACGCCAGAGAGGGUGAGAGCCCCGUACGGUUGGACACCGAGCCUCUAUAUAGCUCCUUCGACGAGUCGAGUAGUUUGGGAAUGCUGCUCUAAAUGGGAGGUAAAUUUCUUCUAAAGCUAAAUACCGGCCAGAGACCGAUAGCGCACAAGUAGAGUGAUCGAAAGAUGAAAAGUACUUUGAAAAGAGGGUUAAAUAGCACGUGAAAUUGUUGAAAGGGAAGCGUUUGCGACCAGACUUUUUCCAGGCGGAUCAUCCGGUGUUCUCACCGGUGCACUUCGCCUGGUUUAGGCCAGCAUCGGUUCUCUUAGGGGGAUAAAGGCCUGGGGAACGUAGCUCCUUCGGGAGUGUUAUAGCCCCUAGCGUAAUACCCUUCGGGGGACCGAGGAACGCGCAU